AAUGAAGAAACAUAAUAUGUUUUUGAAUCUAUUGCAUGUUAGAUAUUCUUCUUUUACUUGAUCAAUUGGUAACAGUACUCUUACUGUUACUAAUUGGGUUGCUUGGACAGUUUUGUUAUAGCUGCAAGAGUGAAUAUUUUGAUUCAAUUAUUCAUAAAAAUUAUUUGAUUUAUUAAAUGCUUGUGGCUGUAGAUUAUAUGGAACUCUUCAACA
rnacentral:misc_RNA from 1 species